rnacentral:tRNA from 1 species
GGUGCUGUAGCUCAGUGUUAGAGCACUUGCCUAGCACAUGUGAGGCACUGAGUUCAAUCCUCAGCACCA